GUCCGUCUAGUCUACAUGAAACAUCAGGGUCAUGUUGCUCUGGUGGCAUCUCGAGUAACUGUCACCGUAAUAGACUGAUGGUUGGCAUCCUCUCCCAUACCCAAAUCUGUAAAUUUCAAAAAAAAUAUACAUGAUAUACCCAAUCAGAACUACAAUAGAAUAUUAAAAAUAUAAAUUUUUAAUUCACAUAUCUGUAAUAAUACAAGAUAACCACUAAUCUCGCUUUGGUCAGCAUAAGAAUCCUUGCACAUAGCCCUG
rnacentral:lncRNA from 1 species